rnacentral:rRNA from 1 species
ACGAACGCUGGCGGCGUGCCUAACACAUGCAAGUCGAGCGAGAAAGUCCCGGCAACGGGAUGAGUAAAGCGGCGAACGGGUGAGUAACGCGUAGGUAAUCUAUCCUUCGGAUUGGGAUAACCUGCUGAAAGGUGGGCUAAUACCGAAUAAUGUUCUUGUGGGAAUCUCACGGGGACCAAAGGGGGCGAGCGUAAGCAGCUCUCACCAAAGGAGGAGCCUGCGUCCGAUUAGCUAGUUGGUGGGGUAACGGCCUACCAAGGCGACGAUCGGUAGCCGGCCUGAGAGGGCGACCGGCCACACUGGAACUGAGACACGGUCCAGACUCCUACGGGAGGCAGCAGUGGGGAAUAUUGCGCAAUGGGCGAAAGCCUGACGCAGCGACGCCGCGUGGGUGAUGAAGGCCUUCGGGUCGUAAAGCCCUGUCAGGUGGAACGAAUGACUUGGCGGCGAAUAACCGCCGGGUGUGACGGUACCACCGAAGGAAGCCCCGGCUAACUACGUGCCAGCAGCCGCGGUAAGACGUAGGGGGCGAGCGUUGUUCGGAUUUACUGGGCGUAAAGCGCGCGUAGGCGGCUAGAUAAGUCGGGUGUGAAAGCCCUCGGCUCAACCGAGGUCCCGCAUCCGAUACUGCCUGGCUGGAGUCUAGGAGAGGAAAGCGGAAUUCCCAGUGUAGCGGUGAAAUGCGUAGAUAUUGGGAGGAACACCGGUGGCGAAGGCGGCUUUCCGGACUAGUACUGACGCUGAGGCGCGAAAGCUAGGGGAGCGAACGGGAUUAGAUACCCCGGUAGUCCUAGCCGUAAACGAUGGGCACUAGGUGUGGGAGGUAUUGACCCCUUCCGCGCCGAAGCUAACGCAUUAAGUGCCCCGCCUGGGGAGUACGGCCGCAAGGCUAAAACUCAAAGGAAUUGACGGGGGCCCGCACAGGCGGUGGAGCAUGUGGUUUAAUUCGACGCAACGCGAAGAACCUUACCAGAGCUUGACAUCCCACGAACCUGCCUGAAAGGGCAGGGUGCCCGCAAGGGAGCGUGGAGA